rnacentral:rRNA from 1 species
UACAGAGGGUGCAAGCGUUGUUCGGAAUUAUUGGGCGUAAAGCGCGUGUAGGCGGCUUUGCAAGUCGGGUGUGAAAGCCCUCAGCUCAACUGAGGAAGGGCGCCCGAAACUGCAGAGCUUGAGUACCGGAGAGGGUGGCGGAAUUCCAGGUGUAGCGGUGAAAUGCGUAGAUAUCUGGAGGAACACCGGUGGCGAAGGCGGCAUCCUGGACCGGUAUUGACGCUGAGGCGCGAAAGCCAGGGAGCAAACGGG